rnacentral:misc_RNA from 1 species
UUGAUUAAUGUUGUUUAUGCUUCAUUUAUUAUGUGCACCGUUACCGUCAAAUUGGCGGCCGAAAGGUCGUCUUUUGACUUAUUUCAUUAUUUACUAAUCAUUUACUAUGCCUAUGAUACAAAACUAUUAGA